CCUACGGGGGGCAGCAGUGGGGAAUUUUGGACAAUGGGCGCAAGCCUGAUCCAGCCAUGCCGCGUGCGGGAAGAAGGCCUUCGGGUUGUAAACCGCUUUUGUCAGGGAAGAAACGCUCUGGGCUAAUACCCUGGGGUAAUGACGGUACCUGAAGAAUAAGCACCGGCUAACUACGUGCCAGCAGCCGCGGUAAUACGUAGGGUGCAAGCGUUAAUCGGAAUUACUGGGCGUAAAGCGUGCGCAGGCGGUCUUGCAAGACAGGUGUGAAAUCCCCGGGCUUAACCUGGGAACUGCAUUUGUGACUGCAAGGCUAGAGUACGGUAGAGGGGGAUGGAAUUCCGCGUGUAGCAGUGAAAUGCGUAGAUAUGCGGAGGAACACCGAUGGCGAAGGCAAUCCCCUGGACCUGUACUGACGCUCAUGCACGAAAGCGUGGGGAGCAAACAGGAUUAGAUACCCCAGUAGUC
rnacentral:rRNA from 1 species